AUUGAACGCUGGCGGCAUGCUUUACACAUGCAAGUCGAACGGUAACAGGCCUUCGGGUGCUGACGAGUGGCGGAACGGGUGAGUAAUGCAUCGGAACGUGCCCAAUCGGUGGGGGAUAACGUAGCGAAAGUUACGCUAAUACCGCAUAAGCCCUGAGGGGGAAAGCAGGGGAUCGCAAGACCUUGCGCGAAUGGAGCGGCCGAUGUCAGAUUAGCUAGUUGGUGGGGUAAAGGCCUACCAAGGCGACGAUCUGUAGCGGGUCUGAGAGGAUGAUCCGCCACACUGGGACUGAGACACGGCCCAGACUCCUACGGGAGGCAGCAGUGGGGAAUAUUGGACAAUGGGCGCAAGCCUGAUCCAGCCAUGCCGCGUGAGUGAUGAAGGCCUUCGGGUUGUAAAGCUCUUUCGGUGGGGAAGAAAUUGCUUGGGUUAAUACCCUGAGUAGAUGACGGUACCUGCACAAGAAGCACCGGCUAACUACGUGCCAGC
rnacentral:rRNA from 1 species